GAUGAACGCUGGCGGCGUGCCUAAUACAUGCAAGUCGAGCGAACAGAUGAGGAGCUUGCUCCUCUGACGUUAGCGGCGGACGGGUGAGUAACACGUGGAUAACCUACCUAUAAGACUGGGAUAACUUCGGGAAACCGGAGCUAAUACCGGAUAAUAUAUUGAACCGCAUGGUUCAAUAGUGAAAGACGGUUUUGCUGUCACUUAUAGAUGGAUCCGCGCCGCAUUAGCUAGUUGGUAAGGUAACGGCUUACCAAGGCAACGAUGCGUUGCCGACCUGAGAGGGUGAUCGGCCGCACUGGAGCUGGGACGCGGUCCAGACGCCUACGAGAGGCAGCAGUAGGGAAUGUGCCGCAGUGGGCGAGAGCCUGACGGAGCAACGCCGCGUGAGUGAUGGAGAUCUUCGGAUCGUGAUGCUCUGUUAUUAGGGGAGAACAAAUGUGUAAGUAACUAUGCACGUCUUGACGGUACCUAGUCAGAAAGCCACGGCUAACUACGUG
rnacentral:rRNA from 1 species